rnacentral:rRNA from 1 species
AGACUUUGAUUAUGGCUCAGGACGAACGCUGGCGGCGUGCCUAACACAUGCAAGUCGAGCGAAGUAUAUCUAAGUGAAGUUUUCGGACAGAACGAAGAUAUAUCUUAGCGGCGGACGGGUGAGUAACGCGUGAGCAACCUGCCUUUCACAAAGGGAUAGCCUCGGGAAACUGGGAUUAAUACCAUAUAAAACUUGCCUUUCGCAUGAAAGGAAAGUCAAAGCGAUAAGCGGUGAAAGAUGGGCUCGCGUCCUAUUAGCUAGUUGGUGAGGUAACGGCUCACCAAGGCGACGAUAGGUAGCCGGCCUGAGAGGGUGAACGGCCACACUGGAACUGAGACACGGUCCAGACUCCUACGGGAGGCAGCAGUGGGGGAUAUUGCACAAUGGAGGAAACUCUGAUGCAGCGACGCCGCGUGAGUGAAGAAGGCCUUCGGGUCGUAAAGCUCUGUCCUAGGGGAAGAUAAUGACGGUACCCUAGGAGGAAGCCCCGGCUAACUACGUGCCAGCAGCCGCGGUAAUACGUAGGGGGCGAGCGUUGUCCGGAAUUACUGGGCGUAAAGAGUUCGUAGGCGGUCUGAUAAGUCAGAUGUGAAAGGCGUAGGCUUCAACCUAUGUAAGCAUAUGAAACUGUCAGACUUGAGGUAAGGAGAGGAAAGUGGAAUUCCUAUUGUAGCGG